rnacentral:lncRNA from 1 species
CUCUUUCACAUUUUGUUGCUUUAUACUAGAUAUGAACCCUAAUGAUUUUCUAGCCAACGCCUCUUCCUCGACUUUUCCCUUCUCUUCACUGCGACAGAUAAAAAUUACUAUAGCAAGGGAUAACUCGGGUGAUUUAGAUAAUACAAAUUUCUUUGUAUCUUCAUUUCUUAUCCCCAGUAUAAUUAAAUUUGACAUCCAAGCUUCAAACGUAAUUUCAGAUAAAUGUUACAUUGGAAAUGCAUCAAAAACUGACAUAUAUACCAUCUGUUACAACGGCCAACAGCUUUUCAAAGCCACCAUAUUCACUCACAGCACUGGUAGCAGCGUUGAAUAUAUCGCUGCCUUUAGUGGUGUCGUGCAAAGAGUACCUUUGAUUGAAGAUUUUGAACAUGAACUAUUUGAUUAGGCUUUGUUUAGUUACCAAAGAUUGAUCAAUCCAUUUUUCUUUUAAUGAACGAGGGUUUUUGAGAUGGAUUGAUAAUUUUAUCUUCUUGCAACGUCUGUGUCCUAUUUAAAAAACCUUCGAUUAUUUAAUUCACAACGCUGAUGUUCGAUUUUGAUUUUCUUAGGAUUUUUUUUUUUGAGCUGUUCAUGAUAACUUAAAAUUUGUCACUCUUGUCCGUCGGAUGUCCUUGAAAGCACCGAACGACCUUGAUGAAUUACCCCGAACAUAUCACUCCGGUCUAAUCUGAAACGAUUGUUACUAUGAAAAAAAUCGACGACAAUGAGCUUUAGAUUUAUUUCCAAUUUGUGGAAGCAGCAGUAAUGAAGGCAAACCGAGAUGUCUAUAGACCUCCAAACCAAAUAUGGAGCAAGUUGCACCUGUGCCCAACUGAAAUUUUGUUGAAUACCAUUGACCAAAAUGUUGAUGCAUAUCUGUUUGCCGAAACACCCUAACGUUUAAGAUGUGUUGUCUUAGUAAGGAAACUAAAAAACUGAGCAAACAGAAUCAUCAACAGUAUAAAUUGUUGGACAUUCUGUUUUAUUUGAUAACUUGUGAAAAUUGAAAGCAGACGCGAAUUGUUCUUUUUUGUAGCUAUUCUUGCAAACAAAAUUAUAAAAAGGACAGUUUUGGUAAUUUUGUUUGAAAUAGCAGCUUGGAUAAGACUUAUUAAUUAAAUUUAAGUAUAGCUUUGAAUAAAGGUAAAUAACCUUCAUUUAAUUACAGACAAAGCUAAGUUCGACUUAAAUAUGAUGAUAUUAAUGAAUAAUUAUUUUUCAAAA